rnacentral:tRNA from 1 species
UGGUGUGUAGCUCAGAGGUAGAGCAGUUGGAGUCGAUACCCAAGAAUGCGCCGGUUCGAGUCCGGUCACGCCAA